AAACUUGAAUUUUAUAAAUAUACUUAAAACUUUCAACAACGGAUCUCUUGGYUCUGGCAUCGAUGAAGAACGCAGCGAAAUGCGAUAAGUAAUGUGAAUUGCAGAAUUYAGUGAAUCAUCGAAUCUUUGAACGCACAUUGCGCCCCUUGGCAUUCCGAGGGGCAUGCCUGUUCG
rnacentral:rRNA from 1 species